rnacentral:rRNA from 1 species
GACAGCAGCAGCCACGGUAAUACGUAGGUGGCAAGCGUUGUCCGGAAUUAUUGGGCGUAAAGGGCUCGCAGGCGGUUUCUUAAGUCUGAUGUGAAAGCCCCCGGCUCAACCGGGGAGGGUCAUUGGAAACUGGGAAACUUGAGUGCAGAAGAGGAGAGUGGAAUUCCACGUGUAGCGGUGAAAUGCGUAGAGAUGUGGAGGAACACCAGUGGCGAAGGCGACUCUCUGGUCUGUAACUGACGCUGAGGAGCGAAAGCGUGGGGAGCGGACAGGAUUAGAUACCCGCGUAGUCCCUGUCUCUUAUAC